AAAUUGAAGAGUUUGAUCAUGGCUCAGAUUGAACGCUGGCGGCAGGCCUAACACAUGCAAGUCGAACGGUAACAGGAAACAGCUUGCUGUUUCGCUGACGAGUGGCGGACGGGUGAGUAAUAUCUGGGAAACUGCCCGAUGGAGGGGGAUAACUACUGGAAACGGUAGCUAAUACCGCAUAACGUCGCAAGACCAAAGAGGGGGACCUUCGGGCCUCUUGCUAUCGGAUGUGCCCAGAUGGGAUUAGCUAGUAGGUGGGGUAACGGCUCACCUAGGCGACGAUCCCUAGCUGGUCUGAGAGGAUGACCAGCCACACUGGAACUGAGACACGGUCCAGACUCCUACGGGAGGCAGCAGUGGGGAAUAUUGCACAAUGGGCGCAAGCCUGAUGCAGCCAUGCCGCGUGUAUGAAGAAGGCCUUCGGGUUGUAAAGUACUUUCAGCGGGGAGGAA
rnacentral:rRNA from 1 species